AUGAACACAUUUUACAAAGCAUAGUAAGGUAGAAUAUUCUGUUGUGGAUUCCACUGGGGCUUUUUCCAGAUAUUCUAAGAUCCUUUUCACUGGUCCUGUGUGCCCCUUGCCUUAGUUUCUGUUUUUUUGGGUGCAGUGUGAACUACUGCCUUCUUCCUAGGCUGACCCUUGGUCUAGUGGAACUGCUUUGCUCAUACAGCAAGCAGACCUCUAGAAGUACCUGGGGAUUUAUGUCCUGGCACGGCCUAUAGAUUAUGACUGACUUAUGUGGUAUAUAAAAGCUUAACUUUCUUGUUUCCAGGUGGACUGGAGACUUUGGUAUCAUUCAUCCUCCAAAGGAUGGAGCUGAGGCUGGAACGUUGCCUGCAAACACCACCUUGUCCUUGUUCCCUGUUCUGGUUGCUCCAUUCCUUUACUAUUUUUUUCUUGGAAACUCUUCUUUAGUAAGUCACAUGCACAAGAAUUCUUGCCUCAGGCUCUGCUUCUGAAGAACCUAACUUAUGACAUUUGAUAAAAUAUUACAGUAAGAGAGCUACAGAAUGGAAAUAUUAUAGAAACACAGACUCUACUUACUUUUUUAAAAAUUUUGUUCUAAUGUGCUAUACAUAAUGGCAGAGUGCAAUUCAUUUCAUAUUACACAUACAGAGCACAAAAUUUUUCAAGACACUGAUUGAACACAAAGUAUUUUCACUCCAUUUGUGUCUCAUACAUGUACUUAGGGUAAUGAGUCUAACUCAUUCCACCAUCAUUCCUACCCUCUUUCCCCUCUCUCCCCUUUGCCCUAUCUAAAGUUCCUCCAUUCCUCCCAUGCUACCCUCCAAUUGCCAAUAUGAGUCAGCAUCCUCAUAUGAAAGAAAAUGUUUGGCCUUUGGUUUUUGGGAUUGGCUUGCUUCACUUAGCAUUAUAUUUUCCAACUUAAUCCAUUUACCUGCAAAUGUCAUGAUUUUAUUCUCUUUUAAUGCUGGGUAAUGUUCCAUUGUGUAUAUAUAUACCAAAGUUUCCCUGUCUAUUCAUCUACCGAAGGGCAUCUAGGUUGGUUCCAUAAUUUAGCUAUUGUGAAUUGUGCUGCUAUUAAACAUUGAUAUGACUGUGGAUAUGGCUGUGUCUCUGUAAUAUGCUGUUUUUACAUCCUUUUGGUAUACACUGAGGAGUGGGAUAGCUAGGUCAAAUGGUAAAUUUAAUGAAAGAGGUGAAAUGAAAACUAUAACACACUAAAAAAAGAAAUUAAAGAAGACCUUAGAAG
rnacentral:lncRNA from 1 species